rnacentral:rRNA from 1 species
UACGAUGGGGGCGAGCGUUGUUCGGAAUUAUUGGGCGUAAAGGGUGCGUAGGCGGUUCCGCAAGUCCUGUGUGAAAUCUUCGGGCUCAACUCGAAGUCUGCACGGGAAACUGCGGGGCUUGAGUGUGGGAGAGGUGAGUGGAAUUCCCGGUGUAGCGGUGAAAUGCGUAGAUAUUCGCAAGAACACCAGUGGCGAAGGCGGCUCACUGGCCCGAUACUGACGCUGAGGCACGAAAGCGUGGGGAGCAAACAGG